GGGCGGGAGUGCGGCUAAUACAAGACCCGCAAGGGAAAUACGCCCGCCGACUCGUUGCGGUUUUCAGCGCCUGCCCGCCCCCUG
rnacentral:ncRNA from 1 species